GGCUAGAGUGGUGGCCUCCUUGGU
rnacentral:piRNA from 1 species